UACGAAGGGGGCUAGCGUUGCUCGGAAUCACUGGGCGUAAAGCGCACGUAGGCGGCUUUUUAAGUCAGGGGUGAAAUCCUGGAGCUCAACUCCAGAACUGCCUUUGAUACUGAGAGGCUUGAGUCCGGGAGAGGUGAGUGGAACUGCGAGUGUAGAGGUGAAAUUCGUAGAUAUUCGCAAGAACACCAGUGGCGAAGGCGGCUCACUGGCCCGGUACUGACGCUGAGGUGCGAAAGCGUGGGGAGCGAUCCGG
rnacentral:rRNA from 1 species